GCUCAGGACGAACGCUGGCGGCGUGCCUAAUACAUGCAAGUCGAGCGAAUCGAUGGGAGCUUGCUCCCUGAGAUUAGCGGCGGACGGGUGAGUAACACGUGGGCAACCUGCCUAUAAGACUGGGAUAACUUCGGGAAACCGGAGCUAAUACCGGAUACGUUCUUUUCUCGCAUGAGAGAAGAUGGAAAGACGGUUUACGCUGUCACUUAUAGAUGGGCCCGCGGCGCAUUAGCUAGUUGGUGAGGUAAUGGCUCACCAAGGCGACGAUGCGUAGCCGACCUGAGAGGGUGAUCGGCCACACUGGGACUGAGACACGGCCCAGACUCCUACGGGAGGCAGCAGUAGGGAAUCUUCCGCAAUGGACGAAAGUCUGACGGAGCAACGCCGCGUGAACGAAGAAGGCCUUCGGGUCGUAAAGUUCUGUUGUUAGGGAAGAACAAGUACCAGAGUAACUGCUGGUACCUUGACGGUACCUAACCAGAAAGCCACGGCUAACUACGUGC
rnacentral:rRNA from 2 species